UACGUAGGGGGCAAGCGUUGUCCGGAAUCAUUGGGCGUAAAGAGCGUGUAGGCGGCCAUGUAGGUCCGUUGUGAAAACUCGAGGCUCAACCUCGAGACGCCGAUGGAAACCAUGUGGCUAGAGUCCGGAAGAGGAGAGUGGAAUUCCUGGUGUAGCGGUGAAAUGCGCAGAUAUCAGGAAGAACACCCGUGGCUAAGGCGGCUCUCUAGUACGGUACUGACGCUGAGACGCGAAAGCGUGGGGAGCAAACAGG
rnacentral:rRNA from 1 species